rnacentral:misc_RNA from 1 species
AAGUCGUAACAAGGUUUCCGUAGGUGAACCUGCGGAAGGAUCAUUAAUGAUUUUUAAAGCGAGUCGAGCGUUUAAGCGAGGCUUUGCGAAAAUAUUUAAAACCCCACUCUUUUUAACUUUAAAAAAAUAAAUCAUGAUGCAUGAAUUUAAAAAAAAGAUCACUUUCAACAACGGAUCUCUUGGCUCUC